rnacentral:lncRNA from 1 species
AGUUGAGAGUCCCUUCAAUGCCAUCUUGGGGAGACCUGUUCUCACUGCUUUCGAAGCCAUUGCCUCUAUUCCCCAUCUUAAGUUGAAGUUCCCGACCGAAAAGGGGGUGGGAGAGAUGAGAGGUGAUCAGAAGGCAGCUAGGAUCAUUAUGCUGGAAGACUUGGAGAAAGAAAAGGAUCUAGGUGGCGCCGAAGGAAACAAACGGCGCCGAACCGAAGAUGGUCCUGGGGGCAGCGGCCAUGCCCUCCAUAUUGAGUUGGAGAAGUUUGGAAAUGAUCUCUCAAACCCGAUAGCCGAACCGGGCACCGAAACCGAAGAGGUGGAAUUGUAUGCAGGGUGCUCGGGAAAAAUGGUUCGGAUCGGUAAAGAUAUGGAGCCAGGGUUGAAGGAAAAAGUGAUUGAUGUGGUCCGUCGCUACCAUGAUGUUUUUGCCUGGGGAGUCUUCUAUGUGUCUCAUAUGCUGAGGGAUGCCGAAACCCGAUACCCGAAUGCCGAGAAGUUCGCAUAUGGGCUGGUCAUGGCCUCCCGAAAAUUGCGACACUAUUUUCAAGGGCGAACGAUACAAGUGGUCACCGACCAACCUCUGAAGAAGAUUCUCAGCCGACCGGAGGCUUCGGGCAGAGUCGUCGCCUGGUCUGUAGAAUUGGGGGAAUACGACUUAGAGUAUGUUCCCCGAACAGCCAUUAAAGCCCAAGCCUUGGUUGACUUCAUGGUAGAGUGCCGUUUUUCCGGGCCGACGGACUUGGAACCGAAGGAACAGCUCAUUCGGACUCCUGGUAGGUGGAAGUUGUUUGUGGAUGGGUCGGUGGCCGGGUCAAAAUGUGGGGCCGGAUUGAUCCUUUCUAGUCCCGAUGGAUUUGAGAUUUGUCAAGCCAUCCGGUUCACUUUCCCUUUGACCAACAAUGAGGCCGAGUACGAAGCCCUCUUGGCAGGAGUGGGUCUAGCCAAAAAUCUGGAGGUAAGGCACUUGAGGGCUUUCAGCGACUCCAUGCUGGUUGUCAAGCACUUUUCUGGGGAGUAUGAACAGAAAGAGCCCCGAACGAAGGCUUACGCCGCUAAAGUACGCGAACAAACUCAGUUUUUCGAAACAUUUGAAUUGAGCGCCAUCGGUCGGGAAGACAAUGGCCGCGCCGAUGCUCUCUCUCGAUUAGCCUCGGCCGAAACACAGAAUUUGACGGGGUCCAUCUACUUGACGGAGGUAAAAAUGCCUUCGGUCGACAAGAAAGCUUGCCUGGAAAUUCAUCAAGGCAUAAAUUGGAUGACCCCCAUCAGAGCAUACUUGGAAAAAGGGUUCUUGCCCUUAGAGAAGAAGGAAGCCCAAAAGAUAAAGUACCGAGCAGCUAGCUACACACUGAUCGGGGGCCGACUCUUUAGGCGAUCAGUCUCUCAGCCGCUGCUCCGAUGCUUAGAUCCAGAAGAACAACUUCUAGCCCUGGAGACAGUUCAUGAAGGCAUCUGCGGCGAGCACCUGGCCGGCCGAUCCCUAGCCCUAAAGAUACUCCGACAGGGAUUCUUUUGGCCGACCAUCAGAGAAGAUGCAGCCAACUAUUCAAAGAAAUGCCGACAGUGUCAAAUCCACAGCAAUGUUCCGAAGCAACCCCCGGAAGAAAUGACUUCGGUCCUCAGCCCAAUCCCUUUCUCCAUGUGGGCCAUCGACAUAGUCGGAAUCCUACCAACCAGCACCCGGCAAGCCAAACAUAAAGGUUGCGACAACAAAAGUAUGGAGACCGACCGGUCGAAGACAUACACUAUCUAAGACAUACAUCAGAAACAAAAACAUGUAUGGAGAUAAAACCAAGUAUGAAAAGCAAGCCCGAAGGCAAAAUUAAUUAGAAGCCCGAAGGCGAAAUAUUUAUACAAAGCCCGAAGGCAGAUCGUUUUUACAAAUAAUGGCCCGAAGGCCAAUGAAAGUACAAAAUUAGAAUUACUCCGAGUAGUCAGUCUCGGGAUCGGAUGAAACAACAAGGGGUUCGUCCGGAUCCUCACGGCCGACCGGAUCAGAAGCUCCUUCGUCCAAAAGUAACUUGUGAUCCAAGCCUUCCUUGUGAGCCCGACGGACCGCCUCGUCAUAUCCAAUGUCGAGGAACCGAUCCUCGGUCUUCUCAAGAAGCUUCCUCGUCUUCUUCUCCUUCUUUCGGGCAGCCUUCAACGCCAGGUUGCGGCGCUGAACCCUCCUGGUCAGAGUAUCGACUUGCCCCUUCAGACGGCCUUCCGACUCCCGAAGGUCCUUCAGGUCCUGGUGGGCAGCAUCCAGCUCCGUCUUCAGGGCCGCCAGGGUAUCUUCAGCUAGAUUGGCUCGAAUAGUAAGGGCGUUCACCCCAGCCAUCUGCUUCUGCAUGUCCUGGACCUUAUCAGUCACCGCCGCCGCCCAAGGAGAAGCCUGCACAUAAAUGGACAAGUUAAAAAAGAUAUACCGGGCCCAUAAAGUGGAAGGGACUAAAGGAUGAGAACACUUACCAGAGAUAGGAAGCACAUCAGCUGCUCGCACGCUUGCAGAGCAGUCGCCGACUCAUAGGUCCCCCGGUCGGCCGGCAACAUUUGCGAUCGGCAGAGAUCGCCCGCAACUUCCUUGAUCCGAUCAGGAGCCUGGAUCGCAAUCGAAUCGGUCGCCAAAACCGACCACUCCGGAAUGUAAGGCCGGACCUCCGAUGAACCGUCCGGCCUGUUCCUCUUCCUAGAGGCUUCGGCGGCCGGAAUCUCCACCACCUCGGAGGCUUUCUCAACCGUCCCCUCCGCACGACCAACCUCCGGGGUCUUCUCCUUCGCCACAUCCGCCUGGACUAUGGCACCAACUGUUGUUUCGCCGCGGGCCUUUGCUUCGGCCUCCUUCUUUGCCGCCAUGGCCUUCGCCGUCUUCCUCUUCAGGGCUUCGGUUCGGGAAGACACUGCACAAAGAAGACAGCGUUAAAACAAUAAACAGGUACAAAUCAAGUGAUCAACUAUCGAGGGAAAAGCAAAGAAGAAAUAGAAAGACUACCGUCACUACCCCAAAGAGUGAAGAGCCACUCCUUCUCCCGACUGGUCGACAGCAGAAUCCGGUUCGGCUCCUGGACUUUGUUCAAUUUCUCAAAGUCCUCCAGGUCCUUACCGACCAGAGGGGGAGUGGUGAUGAUGGAGGGGUCUACCUCCCUCCACAGAGAGAACUUGUGGAUCGAGUGACCCCCCAGGUAGAACCACCGUUCGUGGGUACCCUUGUUGCUCGAGUUGGUUUCACACCAAUUCGGUCGGCCGGUCUUGCGGCCGAUGGUAUAAAAGCCAUUGCUCUUGGCGUUUUUCUUGAAAUCAUGAUGAUUCCAGAAGAGAGCUGGCCGAGGAGACACGCCGGCCAUCAGACACCGAUGCUGGAAUACGUUUAUGUACGUAAAUCCGUUCGGGUCCAACUGGCCUAAGGCGAUCCCCGUCUGCUUCAGAAGUUUCUUCAGCAGGGGGAGCAUCGGGAGCCGAAAGCCGCACUUAAAGGCGUUUUCGGAGAUGCCCACACACUUGUGCCCUUCUUCCGACUCAGGUGUUUGGUAGAUACAAUCGCUCUCUAUGGCUGGAUAAAUAUCCCACGACCGAUGUAUCUGGUACUUUAUCCGAAACGACUUCAGAUCCGCUUCGGUCAGUAAGGAAGGAAAGUUGGCCAUAGGAAACUUCAGCACAUCGCUAAAGUGAUCCGCGGCCGAAUAAGACGUCCCGACUAUGUCACCCGACCGAUCCAUUUGCCUGCAAACGAGAGAAGGCAAACAUGAGCCAUGUACUCGGAAAGAAAGAAAAAGAAGAAAAAGAAGCAAGCCCGAGUACAGAGGGCCGAAUCGGGUCGGGCCAGCAGGACUCGACUAACCUAACCCUAGAAAGCCGACUCAGGCAACAAACAUUCAAAACUCAAACAAGAAUUAAAGCACAAAUAACACAAUAAGUGGAGGAAGCGACGGCGACAAGUCACCGGUUAUAAACUCAGAGACCGCCGGAAAACCCCUACUGCGAUCCUGAUCUACGACUACCAGUACAAUGCAAGCACAUAACAAGAACAAAAAACCCCCCAAAAAUCGGUAAGCCGGCGGGACAACUCCUACCAGGAAAGAAAAUACGCAAAGCAACAAAAUACAGUGCACUAACAUCUAGCAGCAUCCUAAACAUAAAGGAUGAUAACUGACAAAGAGGGGAGAACAACUUACUUGUCGUAGAAGAGAUGUGGAGAAAACGGGUGAAAGAAGCCGGAAAAAGAACCACCGCCGGUUAACAACUAUCGCCUGGGAGCAAGAAGCUUGAGAGAAUGGAGAGUUGAGAGGAAAACAAGAGGAUAUUGGAAAUAUGAAAAGAAACGGGUGGUAAUGAUUUGUAUUUAUAAACGAAUUGUGAAAAGGCGCGCCCUAUUAAUGGCACCCUUUGGAAUGCACGGCCCAGAUUCAGCGCGUAUCUCGAGGCCACGCCAUCCGGCGCCCAAACGACACCACGCGUCCAUCGGACCAAGCAUUUUGAAAUCAGACCGAAACAACUGCUCAGCUCCCACUACAGCCUCACCCUGUCGGUCGGUCAAAGACAACUUAGGCUUCGGCCGCGUUUGAAACCCGACCGAAGCCUGAGGAGAUGUUGGGUUAUAAGCCUUUCGGCCCAAUCCAUUACGGCCCAAAGCAGGUCCAGCCCACCGUUUGAACUUAAACGUUACUAUGGCAACGGUCGAGGCGAGAGAAUCCCGCCUCCUUUACUCAUCAUAACUUCCCUCCCGCAUCGGGCGGGAACGUUACAUAGCAGGGCUCCUCCUCCUCCUAUAAAAAGUGGGUAAAUCAGUGGUAAAAUUCAUUCACAACUUUAUACAUUCUUACAUACUCGCUUGCAGUUCUCUAAACCCUUCCUAGAGCCACUAAUUUAUUCUCACACCGGAGGUGAAUCGGGGGGACAAACCCUCGCAUUCUUCUCUGUUUCAGGUCAUACUUCGGCUUUGGUAUCCGGCAGAACUUUGGCUCUAACAUUGGCGCCGUCUGUGGGAAACUGCAAGUAGAAUUUCUCAUAAAUCAACACCAUGACAAACACCACCGAACAAACCACUGGAAAUACCUCCAACCCAAACCCAGGUUUCGACUUUGGCAAUAGUCCCGAAGGGCUGUUGCCCACCCCCGAAGAACAACAGCAGAUGCUGUUGAAAUGGCGAGAAGAGCAGGCUGCUAAAGCCCAAUCUUCCAAGACCAAGGAGCAAGAAGCUGCCCGACUAGCCAAGAAGAGGGAAGCCGACGAACUCCGGCUGAAGGCCCUCCAGCUACAAAGGGAAGAGAUUGAGCUCCAAGAGAGAGCCCUCCGAGAGGCCUUGGAGGCCGAAGGAGAUCGAGUGCCGGAAGGCGAAGGAAAUAAGAAGAGGAAUCGGGAAGACCAAGACGGGUCUUCGGACUCCGAGUCGCAUUCCCGAGGGCCUCGUCACAGGCAUGUCACACCUUCGGAUACCGAAGGAGAGGAAGGUCCCCACGUUAGGGACCGACUUCGCCGAAUGGAGAAGGCCAUGUUUGGGGACAAGACGUUGACCCAUGAGCCAGUGAUAGUCGAGGAGAUCGAGCAAUAUCGGCCGCCCCCGGGUAGACAGUUCCCGAAGAUGAAUGAAUUUAACGGGAAGGGCGACCCGAUCGAUCACUGCGACAAAUACGAGUCCCUGAUGACUGGAAUGGGACAUUGUGACAUCAUGCUAUGCAAGAUGUUUAAGACCUACCUGAAGGGAUCCGCUACGAUGUGGUACCGAUCCCUACGACCAAGGUCGGUCAGUUCUUAUGAUCAAUUGAAACGCAAGUUUUUGAGGCACUACUCUCACUUGUGCCGAAGAGAGAAGGAUACAGAAGCCCUAAUUCAUUGCCGACAGAGACCCAAUGAGGAGUUGGGCGACUACUUGGCCAGGUUCAAGGAAGAAGCUGGGAUGGUCACUAAUCUGGAUAAGGUGAAGGCUGCAGGGUUCCUGACGGCCGGUCUGGAUCCGGUGAAGGGUAAGAAGCUCCGAUCAUCUUUGUAUGAUAUACCCCCUAAAUCGCUGAAUGACAUCUAUUUGCGGGGAGAAAGCAUCAGAAGGAAGAUGGAAUCCAUCGGGGGACACAAGAGCGAUCGGAAAGAUGAUCGGUACAGUUCCCGUUCGGACGGCAGGGGAAAAAGGAAUGAUAGCCACCGAGGCAGGAGAGAUGAAAGGGAUGAAAAGCUGGAUCGGGGGGCCGAACGAAGGAGAGAUAGAGACAGCACUGUGUUCACUCCUCUGAAUACAUCUGUCUCCAAGAUUCUUAACGAAAUUAAAGGAAAACCAGGAUUCGUUCGGCCGCCGAAGAUGAAGAUCCCAGAUUACAAGAAAAACUCUGAUAAGUAUUGCGACUAUCAUCGUGACAACGGGCACAAUACCGAUGAAUGCUACCACUUGAAGAAGUUAAUAGAGAGGAUGGUCAAGGCUGGAGAUUUGAACCAGUAUGUUAAGGAUCUGAGGGAUCGGUUGGGUCCCAAAGAAGAUAAAGGGAAGGCGCCCGAAGAAGGUGAGAGGUACAGAGGUGAGGUCCGAACGAUUUUCGGGGGAACAAUUCUGGACCGAAGUAGCAAAACGGCUAAGAAGAAGUACGCCCGACAGGUCUACAACCUCUAUAGCAUCAACUCCACCAAACAGUCGUAUCCUAUAAUGUUUUCACAAGAAGAUUAUGAGGAUGUUAUGCUGCCGCACGAGGAUCCGUUGGUCAUUAAUCCCGUGAUCGGCCAAAACAAGAUCUGGAAGGUUCUGGUUGACGGGGGAAGUUCUGUUAACGUCCUCUACUACAACACCUACCAGAAGAUGAACCUGGAAGGCAAGCAGAUCGAUACCUGCUAUGAGGCACCCCUCUAUGGCUUCGGCAAUCAGCCGGUCCCGAUCGAAGGUACGAUCCACUUGCCCCUAUUGCUCGGUAAAUCCCCUUAUACUGUGGAAAAACAGGUCAAGUUUUAUGUGGUCCGAGUUGAGAGUCCCUUCAAUGCCAUCUUGGGGAGACCUGUUCUCACUGCUUUCGAAGCCAUUGCCUCUAUUCCCCAUCUUAAGUUGAAGUUCCCGACCGAAAAGGGGGUGGGAGAGAUGAGAGGUGAUCAGAAGGCAGCUAGGAUCAUUAUGCUGGAAGACUUGGAGAAAGAAAAGGAUCUAGGUGGCGCCGAAGGAAACAAACGGCGCCGAACCGAAGAUGGUCCUGGGGGCAGCGGCCAUGCCCUCCAUAUUGAGUUGGAGAAGUUUGGAAAUGAUCUCUCAAACCCGAUAGCCGAACCGGGCACCGAAACCGAAGAGGUGGAAUUAUAUGCAGGGUGCUCGGGAAAAAUGGUUCGGAUCGGUAAAGAUAUGGAGCCAGGGUUGAAGGAAAAAGUGAUUGAUGUGGUCCGUCGCUACCAUGAUGUCUUUGCCUGGGGACCCGAGGAUAUGCCAGGGUUGGAUGAGUCGAUCGCUCGGC